rnacentral:rRNA from 1 species
AAUCAACGCUGGCGGCGUGCCUAACACAUGCAAGUCGAACGCGAAAAUGGAGCAAUCCAUGAGUAGAGUGGCAAACGGGUGAGUAACACGUGGGUGACCUGCCUUCGAGUGGAGGAUAACGUCCCGAAAGGGACGCUAAUACCGCAUAAUAUGCUGUCUUUUAAGAGAGAGACAUCAAAGCCGGGGACCGCAAGGCCUGGCGCUUGAAGAGGGGCCCGCGCCUGAUUAGCUAGUUGGUGGGGUAAUGGCUCACCAAGGCAACGAUCAGUAUCCGGCCUGAGAGGGCGGACGGACACACUGGGACUGAGACACGGCCCAGACUCCUACGGGAGGCAGCAGUGGGGAAUUGUUCGCAAUGGGCGCAAGCCUGACGACGCAACGCCGCGUGGAGGAUGAAGAUCUUCGGGUCGUAAACUCCUUUCGAUCGAGACGAAUGGCCCUUGGGAUAAUACCCUGAGGGAGUGACGGUACCGAGAGAAGAAGCCCCGGCUAACUCCGUG